AACGAACGCUGGCGGCAUGCCUAACACAUGCAAGUCGAACGAGACCUUCGGGUCUAGUGGCGCACGGGUGCGUAACGCGUGGGAACCUGCCCUUAGGUUCGGAAUAACUCCCCGAAAGGGGUGCUAAUACCGGAUAAUGUCUUCGGACCAAAGAUUUAUCGCCUUUGGAUGGGCCCGCGUUGGAUUAGCUAGUUGGUAGGGUAAAAGCCUACCAAGGCGACGAUCCAUAGCUGGUCUGAGAGGAUGAUCAGCCACGCUGGGACUGAGACACGGCCCAGACUCCUACGGGAGGCAGCAGUGGGGAAUAUUGGACAAUGGGCGGAAGCCUGAUCCAGCAAUGCCGCGUGAGUGAUGAAGGCCUUAGGGUUGUAAAGCUCUUUUACCCGGGAUGAUAAUGACAGUACCGGGAGAAUAAGCUCCGGCUAACUCCGUG
rnacentral:rRNA from 1 species